rnacentral:rRNA from 1 species
GCUACCAUGCAGUCGAACGAUGAAGCCGGAGACUUGCUUUGUGUGGAUUAAUGGCGAACGGGUGAGUAACAUCGUGAGCAACCUGCCCUGGACUCUGGGAUAAGCGCUGGAAACGGCGUCUAAUACUGGAUACGAGACGUGGCCGCAUGGUCAACGUUUGGAAAGAUUUUUCGGUCUGGGAUGGGCUCGCGGCCUAUCAGCUUGUUGGUGAGGUAAUGGCUCACCAAGGCGUCGACGGGUAGCCGGCCUGAGAGGGUGACCGGCCACACUGGGACUGAGACACGGCCCAGACUCCUACGGGAGGCAGCAGUGGGGAAUAUUGCACAAUGGGCGGAAGCCUGAUGCAGCAACGCCGCGUGAGGGAUGACGGCCUUCGGGUUGUAAACCUCUUUUAGCAGGGAAGAAGCGUGAGUGACGGUACCUGCAGAAAAAGCGCCGGCUAACUACGUGCCAGCAGCCGCGGUAAUACGUAGGGCGCAAGCGUUAUCCGGAAUUAUUGGGCGUAAAGAGCUCGUAGGCGGUUUGUCGCGUCUGCUGUGAAAUCCCGAGGCUCAACCUCGGGCCUGCAGUGGGUACGGGCAGACUAGCAGUGCGGUAGGGGAGAUUGGAAUUCCUGGUGUAGCGGUGGAAUGCGCAGAUAUCAGGAGGAACAGCCGAUGGCGAAGGCAGAUCUCUGGGCCGUAACUGACGCUGAGGAGCGAAAGGGUGGGGAGCAAACAGGCUUAGAUACCCUGGUAGUCCACCACGUACACGUUGGGAACUAGUUGUGGAGUCCUUUCCACGGAUUCCGUGACGCAUCUAACGCAUUAAGUUCCCCGCCUGGGGAGUACGGCCGCAAGGCUAAAACUCAAAGGAAUUGACGGGGGACCCGCACAAUCGGCGGAGCAUGCGGAUUAAUUCGAUGCAACGCGAAAAAACCUUACCAAGGCUUGACAUACACGAGAACGGGCCAGAAAUGGUCAACUCUUUGGACACUCGUGAACAGGUGGUGCAUGGUUGUCAUCAGCUCGUGUCGUGAGAUGUUGGGUUAAGUCCCGCAACGAGCGCAACCCUCGUUCUAUGUUGCCAGCCCUUUAUGGUGGGAACUCAUGGG